GUAGGUGAACCUGCGGAAGGAUCAUUAACACGUUUACCACGUAUCUAACAAACUUCGUGAACCUUAAUGUCAGGGUCACUUCUGGCUGGCAGGGAAACCAAGGUGAUUCUUGGGAGUACUCGCUGUCUAGUCGUGAUCGUAAGAUUAUGCGGUUUGAGUUAUGCAGUCGACCACCCGUUGACACCGACGCGCACGUUCUGUGUGCGGAGCCGUAGACGGUCCCGUCUGUAGAUCAUUCCGCACGAAAUCACCGAACCAAUAUCACCCUUUGUCAAGCCGUCUACGAUUUAGCGGUUCCGCUGCUUCGUAGUCUCGGAUUGAUGUUACUAACUUAUUUUUCUUUGUUAUGAAGGACUGCAAACCGUGGACCUCACGGCUAGCUUUUCUUUAAUACAAACUCUGUACAACUCUUAGCAACGGAUAUCUUGGUUUCC
rnacentral:misc_RNA from 1 species